AGGGUUUGAUUAUGGCUCAGGAUGAACGCUAGCUACAGGCUUAACACAUGCAAGUCGAGGGGAAACGAUAUUGGAAGCUUGCUUCCGAUAGGCGUCGACCGGCGCACGGGUGAGUAACGCGUAUCCAACCUGCCCAUCACUUGGGAAUAACCUUGCGAAAGUAAGACUAAUGCCCAAUGACAUUUAUAGAAGGCAUCUGAAAUGAAUUAAAGAUUUAUCGGUGAUGGAUGGGGAUGCGUCUGAUUAGCUUGUUGGCGGGGUAACGGCCCACCAAGGCGACGAUCAGUAGGGGUUCUGAGAGGAAGGUCCCCCACAUUGGAACUGAGACACGGUCCAA
rnacentral:rRNA from 1 species